rnacentral:rRNA from 1 species
UGGGGAAUAUUGGACAAUGGGCGAAAGCCUGAUCCAGCCAUGCCGCGUGUGUGAAGAAGGUCUUCGGAUUGUAAAGCACUUUAAGUUGGGAGGAAGGGCAGUUACCUAAUACGUGAUUGUUUUGACGUUACCGACAGAAUAAGCACCGGCUAACUCUGUGCCAGCAGCCGCGGUAAUACAGAGGGUGCAAGCGUUAAUCGGAAUUACUGGGCGUAAAGCGCGCGUAGGUGGUUAGUUAAGUUGGAUGUGAAAUCCCCGGGCUCAACCUGGGAACUGCAUCCAAAACUGGCAAGCUAGAGUAUGGUAGAGGGUGGUGGAAUUUCCUGUGUAGCGGUGAAAUGCGUAGAUAUAGGAAGGAACACCAGUGGCGAAGGCGACCACCUGGACUGAUACUGACACUGAGGUGCGAAAGCGUGGGGAGCAAACAGGAUUAGAUACCCCCGUAGUCCCUGAGCGGGCUGGCAAGGCGCAU